CCGAAGCAACAUCUUAUAUGCAGGAGAGCCACCCAUCAGAACCACUCUUGGGGGACAACUUUCCACAAGAACAUGAUGACCAGAGGUCAGUAAGCGUCUUCGACCGGAUAGGGAACGAUCCUAGCAAUAGGAUCCGCCCUUCAAGAGGGUCGGUCCGGUCAGACAACGAAGAAGAGUAUGUCCCUCCUCCUAGAAACAGGAAGGAGAGGAGAAACUUAGUCGAUUGGGGGAGCCGUGGGAAAGCACCUCCUCCACCCCAAGACGUCCAAGAUGACCAAGGAUCAGAGGGGCCCUGCUGAUCUUAUGAGAUUGACGACGAUGACGAUAACCUUCCUUUCUCAAGGGAAAUCCGAAGCUUCCCAAUGCCAACUAAUUUCAUGCCCCCAAAGAUCCCCAAGUACGAGGGAAAAG
rnacentral:lncRNA from 1 species